rnacentral:rRNA from 1 species
AUGGCGGCCUCAUGGCUCCUCAAACAUCCUUGUCCACCAGAAAGGCCAUGGACAAGCACAAGGAAUGCUACGGGUCUCCAGCUGAUCACCAUCACUUACCGGCGAACCACGUGCACCGGCCGGAGCGCCGCCGUUGCGGUUAAGCACCAGGAGGAGGGCACCGACGACGAGUGGCUGGCGUACCUGGAGCCGGCCAAGCUAGAGGUGUUCGACCAGCUAGAGCCGUGGGCGGAAGCGAACGUGGUACCGCUCCUUAAGCCCGCCGAGGUGGCGUGGCAGCCGACGGACCUGCUGCCGGAUCCGGCGUCGCUCGGCGCCGACGGCUUCCACGCGGCGUGCUGCGACAUCCGGGAGCGCGCGGCCGGCCUGCCCGACGCGCACCUCGUGUGCCUCGUGGGCAACAUGGUGACGGAGGAGGCGCUGCCGAGUUACCAGAGCAUGGCGAACCGCUUCGAGGCCGUGCACGACCUCACCGGCUCCAGCGGCACCGCCUGGGCGCGCUGGACACGCGGCUGGUCCGCCGAGGAGAACCGCCACGGCGACGUGCUCAACAGGUACCUCUACCUCUCCGGCCGCGUCGACAUGCGGCAGGUCGAGAGGACCAUCCACAACCUCAUCCGGUCCGGCAUGGUCCUGAACGCCGCGCGGAGCCCCUACCAUGGAUUCAUCUACGUCGCCUUCCAGGAGCGCGCCACCUUCAUCUCCCACGGCAACACCGCGCGGCGCGCCAAGGAGCACGGUGACGUGGCGCUCGCCCGCAUAUGCGGCGCCAUCGCCGCCGACGAGAAGCGGCACGAGCUGGCCUACACACGCAUCGUGGCGAAGCUGUUCGAGAUCGACCCCGACGGCGCCGUUCGCGCGCUAGCCUACAUGAUGCGUCGUCGGAUCGUCAUGCCGGCGUCCCUCAUGACCGACGGCCGCGACGAUGACCUCUUCGCGCACUAUGGAGCUGUGGCGCAGCAGGCCGGCAUUUACACGGCCUCCGACUACCGUGGCAUUUUGGAGCACCUGAUAAAGCAGUGGGGAGUGGAGGAGCUGGUGGCCGCCGGGCUCUCCGACGAGGGGAGGCGUGCGCGGGACUACGUGUGCGCGCUGCCACAAAAAAUCCGAAGGUUGGAGGAGAAGGCCCACGAACGGAGACGCCACAAGGCCCAGCCCACGACACCCAUCCCAUUUAGCUGGAUCUAUGACAGGCCCGUCAACAUCACCGUCGCCUAG